CAGCGGCGGGCUGAAGUUCUCCUCAAGUGCCGCCAAAGUGGGAGCCCAGGCAGAGGAGGCGCCGAGAGCGAGCCAAGGCUGUGAGGACUGCCAGCACGCUGUCACCUCUCAAGAGUAUGAGAGAAAAGGACUUCCAAGAACCCAUUUCCACAGUUAUUGAAUAAGAGUUGAUAGAGCUCCAUACAGAUUAGAACAGAUCCAGGACCAGACACAGUGGCACACACGUACAAUCCCAGCACUUUCGGAGGCAGAGGUGGGUGAUCACUUGAUCGAGACCAGCUUGGGCAACAUGGUAAGACCCCAUCUCUACAGAAAAUUUAAAAAUAAGCUGGUUGUGGUGGCAUGAGUUUGUAGUCCCAGCUACUUGGGAGGCUAAAUAAGGAGGAUCCCUUGAGCCUGGGAGGUCGAGGCUGUAGUGAGCUGUAAUCAUGCCACUGCAUGCCAGCCUGAGUGACAG
rnacentral:lncRNA from 1 species